GGGGCCUUAACUCAGUUGGUAGAGUGCCUGCUUUGCAAGCAGGAUGUCAGGAGUUCGAUUCUCCUAGGCUCCA
rnacentral:tRNA from 3 species